rnacentral:tRNA from 1 species
GCCCUCUUAGCUCAUGCGGUAGAGCACUUCCAUGGUAAGGACGAGGUGGUGGGUUCGCUUCCCACAGAGGGCU